AUACGUAGGGGGCGAGCGUUGUCCGGAAUGACUGGGCGUAAAGGGCGUGUAGGCGGCGGUGUAAGUCUGGAGUGAAAGUCCCGCAUUCAAUGUGGGAAUUGCUUUGGAUACUGCAGUGCUAGAGUGCGGAAGAGGUAAGUGGAAUUCCCGGGGUAGCGGUGAAAUGCGUAGAGAUCGGGAGGAACACCAGUGGCGAAGGCGGGUAACUGGACUGCAACUGACGCUGAGGCGCGAAAGUGUGGGGAGCAAACAGGAUUAGAUACCCUGGUAGUCCACACUGUAAACGAUGAAUGCUAGGUGUAGGAGGUAUCGACCCCUUCUGUGCCGCAGUAAACACAGUAAGCAUUCCGCCUGGGGAGUACGGUCGCAAGAUUAAAACUCAAAUGAAUUGACGGGG
rnacentral:rRNA from 1 species